UACGUAGGGGUGCAAGCGUUGUCCGGAAUUAUUGGGCGUAAAGAGCUCGUAGGCGGUUUGUCGCGUCUGCUGUGAAAACCCGAGGCUCAACCCCGGGCCUGCAGUCGAUACGGGCAAACUAGAGUGCGGUAGGGGAGACUGGAAUUCCUGGUGUAGCGGUGAAAUGCGCAGAUAUCAGGAGGAACACCGGUGGCGAAGGCGGGUCUCUGGGCCGUAACUGACGCUGAGGAGCGAAAGCGUGGGGAGCGAACAGG
rnacentral:rRNA from 1 species